ACGAGACCAAAGCAACAUUAUAUAUAUAUUUUAUUGCAAAAAGCCUCAAAAGUGUGCCAGCGUUACAAAUAUGCUUAGUAGUACUCGUAUAUCUGUAAGCCUACCAGUACUUAUAAUUUCACUUUCAUAUCACAACCCAUGGAUAGUAAGAGGCCUUUUUGUCCCCUGGUGGAGAGCAGAGAACGAGGAUGUGAGUACCUGGCUAGCCUUUCACCUCGUGUAUUCGAGAAGGAUGAGGAGCGAAGCAAUGGGGCAGCGAGUCAGCAGUGGACGUGAGUGACGCUCGAGCGACUGAAUCUGGUUGAGGGUGGCCGUGGUUAGUUACUGAACAUGUGUGUGUAUGGCUCAGCGGUGUCUUUUGUGCUAAGAGGAGGAGGUAGAGUAUAGUGAUUCUUGUUCGUUAUCGUUGUCAUGUUGUUCAUCUUGUUUUUACUUAUAUUUUCUUUGUUAUCGUCUUUGUCGUCAUUUUAUUAUGCAUUUGCUUCUAUUUCUUGUUUCUUUUUACCGUUUCUCUCUCUCUCUCUCUCUCUCUCUCUCUCUCUCUCUCUCUCUCUGAAAUAAUAAUAAAAAAGAAAGCUAAAAACAAGGACAGGCCAAACUGAUUUAUUGUUUAUGUAUUAAGUCCAUUUUCACCUUCUGAAUUAUUGUCUCCAAGUGUCAAUUACUAAGACUCUUCUUCCUCCGCCUCCUCCUGCUGCUGCUGCUAUUAUUGUUGCCGUUCUUGCACACCGGUACACACGCGCCAGUCUUUAUGUAAGAACUCAUCCUUCCCUUCAGUUACCUUCCCUUCAGCAGAUAGAAUCCUUCUCUUUAAGACGGCCCCGGGCAGACAGCUCGGUGGGCAGCUUUCAUGGUCCUCGGAGGGGCGGGAGUGGAUACUUUUCUUAGGGCGAGACGACUGACAAUCAAUACCUGAUGACGCUGAUGACUGGUUUUGUGGGCGUUGUGAAGGCGAGGACGGGGCUGAUGACUAUCUGCUACUUGCUGCCGUGCGUCUUGCCACACUGACUUUGGCUCUUAAUAUACAGCAGAAGAAACAAGCCUGGGAGGAAAUAUGCUGAAAUGGAGAGUUGAGGAGGUGGGCCAGACAUCAGCUCACGACAUUGCUGGAACACGCGGUGUUGCCGCUUCUUCCAUGUGAAGAGCGUAUGGCUUGAGAUACCGGGUAUUUAGCAGUUCUUUUAUUUCCGCUUGUAAAUAAACAAAAAGUACUUCUUAUUCUAUUAGCUAAACUAAGACAAUAAAUGUGAACAGUCAACAGCACAAGACUCGUAUCCUGUUUGCGCGCUAACACGCGGUGUUGCCGCUUCUUCCAUGUGAAGAGCGUAUGGCUUGAGAUACCGGAUAUUUAGCAGUUCUUUUACUUCCACUUGUAAAUAAAUAAAAUGUACUUAUUAUUCUAUUAGCUAAACUAAGACAACAAAUGUGAACAGUCAACAGCACAAAACUCCUCUCCAGUUUGCGCGCGCAUUUCUCUGCUGUGGCGUGUUUUGUGGCUCCUCGCUGAACACUUCUAUCUCUUGACGCUGUGAGUUAGGCUACUUUGACGGUGACUUGAACACUACCACACUGGGCUGCUGUGUGUGUGAGGAAGGUGUGGUGGAGCUGUGAAGUGUGGCUGAGGUGGUGGAGGGAAGCAAGCUGUGUGUUACUCGACAACCAUCACCACCACCACCGCCGCCAUGUCAUCUUCGUCUUCUUCCUUCUCUUUAUUCUUUUCCUCCUUUCCCUCCGCUGACGUGUGUGUGGUGUUCCUUGACCGCCGUCAUGAGAAAGAGAAUAUGCAAGGUAGGUACAGCUCCUACUUGCGCAGGCUUUGACGUCAAAAUUUAAUGUAAUCAGUGUGUGUGUGUGUGUGUGUGUGUGUGUGUGUGUGUGUGGAAGAAACGGGAUCAUAACCGAAAACCAUGUGCAUAAUAUGCUAUACUAAUUUAUUAUGUAAGUUGAGUACUCCUCACACAUACUCAACACACAUCUUCAGUACGUACGUAUGUAUGUUCCUCUCAUCAUCAUUGUGAUGUACAGCUUACUGUAUAUUAUGAGAAAGAAUAAAUGAUUGACUGACAGACUGACUGACUGACUACUACUACUACCACUCUAAUAGCAUAGGAAUAAAGUAAAACACUACUACUACUACCAGUCUAAUAGCAUAGGAAUAAAGUAAAACACUACUACUACUACCAGUCUAAUAGCAUAGGAAUAAAGUAAAACAGUGAAUAAGUGUAAGAAAAGGAAAGUAAUUUUUAAAAUUGAAUGGUGUUUAAGUGAAUUGUUGAUAAGCUUGAUUAAUAAGAAAGGAAUACAUGUGAAGUAAGAAACAAUAAAUUAAGUCAUAGUAA